rnacentral:rRNA from 1 species
GAGAAUAACAAAAACACAUGUGGCCCGAUCUCAUCCGAUCUCAGAAGCUAAACAGGGUUGGGCCUGGUUAGUACUUGGAUAGGAGACAGCCUAGAGAUACCGGGUGCUGUAGGCU